UAGGUUGGAGUCAUUAACACUAGUUUACAUACACUUAGGUUGGAGUCAUUAACACUAGUUUACAUACACUUAGGUUGGAGUCAUUAACACUAGUUUACAUACACUUAGGUUGGAGUCAUUAACACUAGUUUACAUACACUUAGGUUGGAGUCAUUAACACUAGUUUACAUACACUUAGGUUGGAGUCAUUAACACUAGUUUACAUACACUUAGGUUGGAGUCAUUAACACUAGUUUACAUACACUUAGGUUGGAGUCAUUAACACUAGUUUACAUACACUUAGGUUGGAGUCAUUAACACUAGUUUACAUACACUUAGGUUGGAGUCAUUAAAACUAGUUUACAUACACUUAGGUUGGAGUCAUUAAAACUAGUUUACAUACACUUAGGUUGGAGUCAUUAACACUAGUUUACAUACACUUAGGUUGGAGUCAUUAAAACUAGUUUACAGACACUUAGGUUGGAGUCAUUAAAACUAGUUUACAGACACUUAGGUUGGAGUCAUUAAAACUAGUUUACAUACACUUAGGUUGGAGUCAUUAAAACUAGUUUACAUACACUUAGGUUGGAGUCAUUAAAACUAGUUUACAUACACUUAGGUUGGAG